CUUGCAUCUCCAUGUCUGAUUGCUAGUAAAAUUUAUGAACAUUUUCAGUUCAUUUACAAAGGUUUAUGAAGAUUUUUUCAAGUCAAAAAUAUUGUUUUAACUUGUGGACAUUUUUAAAGUUAAAUAAGCCGACCGAAAUAAAAAAACCAUAUGGAAAACUCCCUGAAAGAGAAACAAAGCUUUUUUAGUGCUAAUUUUCUUUGAGGGAUAAAUAGAAACAGAGGUUUUUUUGGAACCACUUGUAAUUUUAUUAGAAACAGAGCUGAAGCGCUACAAAAAAUGUUCAACAUUCCGUGGGCUGCAUAGGCUGGGCUUUCUACGCCUGCAUGGGCCGUCAUACCCUUCCUCCUUACCCCUAAAAAAAUCUAAGAAGAAGAAAAAAACACCUUUCUCCUCCAGCCGUUGCCGGCGGCGCCCCAUCCGCGGCGAAGUCGCCGGUGAGCUGGGCUGUCCGGCAGCAGGGCAUUGCUGCCGCCAUUCCUCGCGCCCAGUACCCCAUCUUUCCACUACGCCCCAUCAGCAGCCGCGCCGCCCCUAAUCGUCGGCCUCGGCAGAGGAGGGGAACCGCGUUGCCGACUUCGGCUUGAUCCCCUCAAUCCUCGUCGGUGGAGUAGGGACAAGCAUGGCAGGGCAAGGAUAAGGUUUGGGAUGAACCACACCAACGUCAGGCAGGUCAAUGUAACCUCUGUAUUGCAAUUUACGCGAUGAUUUGGUGCAGCGGAAUGGCAUUAUAUGGUGAGCCGAAAACCAAAUGGGAUUAAACAUGGCAUAGCUGAUGUAGAUGUAGUGAUGUGUAUAUGUCUUGCUGAUGUAGUGAUGUAGUGAUGUGUGUAUGUCUUGGUACAGUAGGACAUUUUCAUGGCUUGGGUUCAUCAGUUGGCGGGUGGUGCAGAGGAAAAACCAAUUGUUAGGAGGCAUCAUUAUAGUUCACAUGUUUCCUUACCGA